rnacentral:lncRNA from 1 species
ACAAAUCUAGAAAACAAACACAAAAAUUAACGAACUAAAAACUUUAAAUAAAACCUAGCUAAACAAAAUUUCCAUUCAAUUUGCAAUCCAUAGCAAAUUUUAAAAAUUAGAACAUCUGUUCACUAGAUCCAACUAAUCCCACCAUAGAUUCUAAGCUAUUUAGAAUCGAUUAGAAAAGAAUUCACAAACUUCCUUCGGUGUAAAGUGAACCAUCAUAGUUAAGGAGACUCAAGUAAAACCUUUACCCUUCAUCCCUUUUAUUCAUACUUCACACACUUAUAGAAUCAUUCUUCUUCUUCUUAUUUUUAUUUUUAUUAUUAUUUUUUUCCAGUAAUAGUGGUGGUUGUGCAAUGUUGGUUCCCUUAAGCUUUCGAUUCAACCCAUGUAGCGAGCUUUAGGUCAAUGACUCCCAAAUCACUAAGACUUUAGGGCACUAGGCCCUAAGGACUUAUUAACUCUAAGCUGAAAAGGCUACGAAACCAACCACCCUGCCUCAUGCCAAAACUCUACCGUUUGACUCAAGAAUCAAUGUUGAUUAGGCAGGAUUGGCCCGGUUACUAACAAAAAGCUUUGGGUAAGGCAAUUAUUACUUUAUAACACAUACUAACUCUUUUUGUUUUUUUUUUGGUUUUUGGAACAAAAAAUAAAAUACACUGGGACAAAAAGUAAGUAUUUCAAUCUCACUCUCCACAAACCAUGUUGGUGUGAUGUGCAAAUUUCAAAGUAUAAUUCAUGAAUUAACGUAUAAGCAACGAUAAAUAGAAAAGACUCCAAUGUGAGAUUGAUCUUCACCAUGUCCAUUUGUUCUAACAUUUAAAAUAAUCUAUGGAUAUUAACUUAAAAAUGAAAAUUUUUAACAAGACUAAAAAAAAAAAAAAAAAAAAAAACUCAAAUCUCAAAUUUACUAUCCCACUCCCAAACUUAAAUCACACAUUGUCCUCAAAGUGUGGAAAAGAAAAUAAAGAAGUUAAUAAAAAUAGUAAAACCUAAAAUAAAACAUAAAAAAUAUGCGUGUGAAAAUAAAGGACAAUACUUAAGAAAAAUUAAAAUAAGAAUAGAAGGGAAAGAACACAUCUUGGACGCCAUCUGUUGUCAAGCCUGGGCAAGUGGAAUGGACGCAUGGGCAAGUUGUCAAGCAUGAAUUGUUGUUGACUUGACAUUCAAUUUUUUUUAUUUCGCUAUGUGAUUGCAUGUCACUUAAUUUAGUUAUAUCAAUCUAUUGUGGUAAGGUCUCAUUCCUUACUGAGCAGUGGUUGCUCAUCCUUUAUCCUGUUUAAUUUUUCAGAUGAAUUAGUGGGCUAGACGAGGACUAAAUCGAUUGAGGUGGAAUUAGAUGAGAGUAGUAGAGCUUUAUUUAUUUCUUGUAAAGUUGUAAGAUUUCAGAUGUAUUUUUUUAAGAGAAGUUUAUUUUAAAUCCUGUUUCAGCAUCUUUUUAUUUUAUUUUAGUUUUUAUUUUCUCACGCACUGGGCGCAGGGUUUCCACAGACCCC